CGUUCCCGGGCCUUGUACACACCGCCCGUCACGUCACGAAAGUCGGUAACACCCGAAGCCGGUGGCCCAACCCCCUUGUGGGGAGGGAGCUGUCGAAGGUGGGACUGGCGAUUGGGACG
rnacentral:rRNA from 1 species